GAUGAACGCUGGCGGCGUGCCUAAUACAUGCAAGUCGAGCGAACAGACGAGGAGCUUGCUCCUCUGACGUUAGCUGCGGACGGGUGAGUAACACGUGGAUAACCUACCUAUAAGACUGGGAUAACUUCGGGAAACCGGAGCUAAUACCGGAUAACAUGUUGAACCGCAUGGUUCAACAGUGAAAGACGGUCUUGCUGUCACUUAUAGAUGGAUCCGCGCCGCAUUAGCUAGUUGGUAAGGUAACGGCUUACCAAGGCAACGAUGCGUAGCCGACCUGAGAGGGUGAUCGGCCACACUGGAACUGAGACACGGUCCAGACUCCUACGGGAGGCAGCAGUAGGGAAUCUUCCGCAAUGGGCGAAAGCCUGACGGAGCAACGCCGCGUGAGUGAAGAAGGUCUUCGGAUCGUAAAACUCUGUUAUUAGGGAAGAACAAAUGUGUAAGUAACUAUGCACGUCUUGACGGUACCUAAUCAGAAAGCCACGGCUAACUACGUG
rnacentral:rRNA from 1 species